rnacentral:rRNA from 1 species
UACGGAGGGAGCAAGCGUUGUUCGGAUUUACUGGGCGUAAAGGGCGCGUAGGCGGCGUAGCAAGUCACUUGUGAAAUCUCCGGGCUUAACCCGGAGCGGCCAAGUGAUACUGUUGUGCUAGAGUGCGGAAGGGGCUACUGGAAUUCUCGGUGUAGCGGUGAAAUGCGUAGAUAUCGAGAGGAACACCUGCGGCGAAGGCGGGUCGCUGGGCCGACACUGACGCUGAGGCGCGAAAGCCAGGGGAGCGAACGGG